UACGUAGGGUGCAAGCGUUAUCCGGAAUUAUUGGGCGUAAAGAGCUCGUAGGCGGUUUGUCGCGUCUGCUGUGAAAACUGGAGGCUCAACCUCCAGCCUGCAGUGGGUACGGGCAGACUAGAGUGCGGUAGGGGAGAUUGGAAUUCCUGGUGUAGCGGUGGAAUGCGCAGAUAUCAGGAGGAACACCAAUGGCGAAGGCGGGACUCUGGGCCGAUACUGACGCUGAGGAGCGAAAGCGUGGGGAGCAAACAGG
rnacentral:rRNA from 1 species